GGCCGGGUGCGAUGCAAGGGUUGGCUGCGAACCGGGUCAGGUCCGAAAGGAAGCAGCCCUAAGCAAACUUACCCUGUGCCGUCGUCAUUCCGGUCGUC
rnacentral:SRP_RNA from 1 species